rnacentral:rRNA from 1 species
UACGUAGGGUGCGAGCGUUAAUCGGAAUUAUUGGGCGUAAAGAGCUUGUAGGCGGUUUGUCGCGUCUGCUGUGAAAAUCCGGGGCUCAACCCCGGACUUGCAGUGGGUACGGGCAGACUAGAGUGUGGUAGGGGGAGACUGGAAUUCCUGGUGUAGCGGUGGAAUGCGCAGAUAUCAGGAGGAACACCGAUGGCGAAGGCAGGUCUG